rnacentral:rRNA from 1 species
AGAGUUUGAUCAUGGCUCAGGACGAACGCUGGCGGCGUGCCUAAUACAUGCAAGUCGAGCGCGGGAAGCAAGCAGAACCCCUUCGGGGGUGACGCAUGUGGAACGAGCGGCGGACGGGUGAGUAACACGUGGGCAACCUGCCUGUAAGACUGGGAUAACCCCGGGAAACCGGGGCUAAUACCGGAUAAUACGUUUUCUUGCAUAAGGAGACGUUAAAAGGCGGCGCAAGCUGUCACUUACAGAUGGGCCCGCGGCGCAUUAGCUAGUUGGUGGGGUAAAAGCCUACCAAGGCGACGAUGCGUAGCCGACCUGAGAGGGUGAUCGGCCACACUGGGACUGAGACACGGCCCAGACUCCUACGGGAGGCAGCAGUAGGGAAUCUUCCGCAAUGGACGAAAGUCUGACGGAGCAACGCCGCGUGAGUGAAGAAGGUUUUCGGAUCGUAAAACUCUGUUGUUAGGGAAGAACAAGUGCCGUUCAAAUAGGGCGGCACCUUGACGGUACCUAACCAGAAAGCCCCGGCUAACUACGUGCCAGCAGCCGCGGUAAUACGUAGGGGGCAAGCGUUGUCCGGAAUUAUUGGGCGUAAAGCGCGCGCAGGCGGUCUUUUAAGUCUGAUGUGAAAGCCCACGGCUUAACCGUGGAGGGCCAUUGGAAACUGGAGGACUUGAGUACAGAAGAGGAGAGUGGAAUUCCACGUGUAGCGGUGAAAUGCGUAGAGAUGUGGAGGAACACCAGUGGCGAAGGCGACUCUCUGGUCUGUAACUGACGCUGAGGUGCGAAAGCGUGGGUAGCGAACAGGAUUAGAUACCCUGGUAGUCCACGCCGUAAACGAUGAGUGCUAGGUGUUAGGGGGUUUCCGCCCCUUAGUGCUGCAGUUAACGCAUUAAGCACUCCGCCUGGGGAGUACGGCCGCAAGGCUGAAACUUAAAGGAAUUGACGG